CUAACAGCUCAUUUUUCCCUGAUAAUUUUCCUCCAUCCAGCCCUCACUGCUCUCUCAGCCACUGAGAAAGGAACCUGCUGCUGAAUUUCUCUGUGCUUGGGAGAAGUUUAAUGGUUCCAAACCAUUGGGAUGAGAAGGAUCCUUUCCCAGCAACUUCUCUGCCAAAUGAAGACAAGACAAGAAGACUGUGAAGUUUGAACAAGAUUUCUGCUGCACAAACCAGGAGAUGUGACCAGAUGGCCUGACCUCAUGCACUGAAUGAGACAGAAUUUACAGUGAC